CGAGUUGUUCCCCUUCGCAUAAUUGUUUUCUGUGUCAGUCAACUUUCGUUUUAUUGGAAAGGAAUUGACUUGUUUCCUUGACAGCGAUCUCAUCGCGAAAACGUUUCACAGGGAAGUGAUGGAUGGCAACACCAGUAUCCGUGACGGUCAUAUGUAUUGAAGUGUAGGCUUGUGGGCUGCAGUUCCACAGAAUGAGACACAUCGGCACUUUCUCCUAUCCCACCGCCAAGAUCUGGGCUCAGUGGAGAUGUUACAUUGCGCUGUUAACAGUUUUAACAUGAUAUCGCUACAACCUGGAAACAAUGACUUAUAUAAUGACAAUCUGCUGUCUUUAUCUUUGCAAGAGUUGGGAUUAGUUCUAGCUGUGUGUUCUUUCUCAGUAAAAGAUACUUACAGUUGCUGAAAUAGUAUCUUUAGAAAUGCAUGAAAUGUUAUUUAGGAAUAAUGCUUUGUAGGUAUAUACAUGUAUGUAUUUCACCUCAGCUCAAUAUAGGGAUAGUAAAUGUUUAGUUUCUCAGACCAUUUUGUAACAUUUUAGUAGGGAGCACAUAAUGCUAUUGUUUUUACAGGAUAAUUGCUUUCAAUUUGUAUUACCAGUUUGGCUUUAGAGCUGCACUCUCACAGUUUGACACUGAUAUGAAAUGUUUGGGGUUUUUUGUCUCAGAAUACGCUCAUGUUGGCAUUAAAACCUUCAAUUCAGUUAUCAAUAUAUAGGUAACUUACAAUAGAACAAAUCUCAAUUGUAAGAAAGAAUGCCAAAAUCUUUAAAAAAAAAUAAGCGUUAAUAAUGCUUUUUACUAUAAAACAACAAUUUUCUAACAUAAAUAUGAAAAACUACAUUCAAAUAUUACCAUAAAACAUCAAUUUUCUGACAAAAACAUGAAAAACUACAUUCAAAUCUUUUGUUAGCAGUCUUAUAUCACUGUUUACCAGACAUUCACUCUGUAAGAGUGCAGCUUUAAAUUACUUAAUUUAUAUAUAGAGCAAAAGCAAAAUCAUUUGAAGAUCCAUGCUUUAAAAGAGGUGCCCUUUAAAGUAGCAAGUGUUACUGAUGCUUUUCAGCAAAAUAAAGCAUUUUUUAACCUUUUAAAUGAAUAAACUCCAUUAUAGAGCUCUAUUGGAACUUUUAGUGAUGUAUUGACUUUUAAAUUAGCUAUAUUGGAAUUUUAAGUGAUUUGUUACCUUUUUAACUAGCUUUUAUCAAUAAGAAAAUUAAUUAUUUUGCUCUCUUAAAUUGUGACCAAGUCAGAUUUAAGUCACUAUAACCAUUUCAUGUUUGUUGUUAAUGUAGUUGUGUUGUAAUAUUGCUUAAUCUUAUAUUGCAAGAUUUGUCUAAUAAAACAAAU